rnacentral:rRNA from 1 species
UAGUGGCGAACGGGUGAGUAACACGUGGGCAAUCUGCCCUUCACUCUGGGACAAGCCCUGGAAACGGGGUCUAAUACCGGAUAAUACUCCUGCCCGCAUGGAUGGGGGUUGAAAGCUCCGGCGGUGAAGGAUGAGCCCGCGGCCUAUCAGCUUGUUGGUGGGGUAAUGGCCUACCAAGGCGACGACGGGUAGCCGGCCUGAGAGGGCGACCGGCCACACUGGGACUGAGACACGGCCCAGACUCCUACGGGAGGCAGCAGUGGGGAAUAUUGCACAAUGGGCGAAAGCCUGAUGCAGCGACGCCGCGUGAGGGAUGACGGCCUUCGGGUUGUAAACCUCUUUCAGCAGGGAAGAAGCGCAAGUGACGGUACCUGCAGAAGAAGCGCCGGCUAACUACGUGCCAGCAGCCGCGGUAAUACGUACGGCGCAAGCGUUGUCCGGAAUUAUUGGGCGUAAAGAGCUCGUAGGCGGCUUGUCACGUCGGAUGUGAAAGCCCGGGGCUUAACCCCGGGUCUGCAUUCCAUACGGGCUAGCUAGAGUGUGCAAGGGUAGAUCGGAAUUCCUG